ACACACAAUAUGUAUAUUGUAUAUAUAUAUAUAUUUAUGAUAUUGUGUAUAUUGCCUACAUCACGACACGACGUAAAUCGUAGGCGAACAACGCACGAAACGAUGAUGGACAAAAAAUACUACGACGACUCGAACUCUAUAUACUACACUGUGAAUACUAUUUUGUUGGUUUGAUGCAUAGAUGUUGCAACGUACUGGGACUUAACCAUUUAAAAUUUUAAAUCGACGAAUGAACCCGACCCGAGACAAACGGACGCGUUUCAGAAAAAAUAUAAAUACCGCCUGCUACCUAUCGAGAGCAUCGACAGCUGCGAUGCUCUAAGGGUUUUCGGGCUGAUAUUCUCCGCAAAGUACACACUUGCUUGGUGUAUACACUAUAUUACAGCAAAUCUGGACAAGGUUUAUGUUUAUUAACCGAGUUGUGUUAAAUUGAUAAAACAUUUUUAAAAAAAUUUAAA